UUCUAGUCACUAGUGCCAGAAAUCCUGUAUUUAUCCACAGAGCAAGUAUUAGUAUGGAUCUGCAGCAGAGGCCUUCCCACACCAGCCUACCAGUGUGCCUCACCCUUAUUCUAGCUGGACUAAAGCUCAGGGUGAGAAUGCUGCUGAUGCUUUAGACCAGGGGUCGGCAACCUCU
rnacentral:sRNA from 1 species